AUUGAACGCUAGCGGGAUGCCUUACACAUGCAAGUCGAACGGAGUGGCGAACGGGUGAGUAAUGUAUCGGCACGUGCCCAGUAGCGGGGGAUAACUACGCGAAAGCGUAGCUAAUACCGCAUACUAUUGGAGCGGCCGAUAUCGGAUUAGCUAGUUGGUGGGGUAACGGCUCACCAAGGCGACGAUCCGUAGCUGGUUUGAGAGGACGACCAGCCACACGGGGACUGCGACACGGCCCAAACUCCUACGGGAGGCAGCAGUGGGGAAUUUUGGACAAGGGAGGAAACCCUUGUCCAUCCAUCCCGCGUGUGGGAUGAAGGCCUACGGGUUGUAAAGCACUGUUGGCGUGAAAGCGGUACCGGCAGAGUAAGCACCGGCUAAUUACGUGCCAGCAGCCGCGGUAAUAC
rnacentral:rRNA from 1 species